GAUGAACGCUGGCGGCGUGCUUAACACAUGCAAGUCGAACGAAGAUAUUAAGAAUGAGAGCUUCGGCAGGAAUUUUUCUUAUCUUAGUGGCGGACGGGGGAGUAACGUGUGGGCAACCUGCCCUGCACUGGGGAAUAAUCAUUGGAAACGAUGACUAAUACCGCGUACGGUUCCUGGGAGGCAUCUUCCGGGAAAGAAAGGAUUUAUUCGGUGUAGGAUGGGCCCGCAUCUGAUUAGCUAGUUGGUGAGAUAACAGCCCACCAAGGCGACGAUCAGUAGCCGACCUGAGAGGGUGACCGGCCACAUUGGGACUGAGACACGGCCCAA
rnacentral:rRNA from 1 species